UACGAACUGUGCAAACGUUAUUCGGAUUCACUGGGCUUAAAGGGUGCGUAGGCGGCCAUGUAAGUAGGGUGUGAAAUCCCCCGGCUUAACCGGGGAACUGCGCCCUAAACUGUGUGGCUUGAGUGAGAUAGGGGUGUGUGGAACUUCCGGUGGGGCGGUGAAAUGUGUUGAUAUCGGAAGGAACGCCGGUGGCGAAAGCGACACACUGGGUCUCAACUGACGCUGAGGCACGAAAGCCAGGGGAGCGAACGGG
rnacentral:rRNA from 1 species